rnacentral:lncRNA from 1 species
GAGAUUUAGGCGUCCCUCUGUAUUCAUUUAGAUGAUGGAUAGUAAUGGCUCAAUAGUUCCUCUGGAACCAUUACGGUCAAUCAGGUCAAAAUCCAGCUUGGGGGUGGGAAGGAUUUUUAAGCACGGGAGGUAGGUAACAGGACUCCUGCGCACAUUUGUUCAGAUAACACCUCUGAUAACGUAAUGCAAUCCAGGGUCCUUAAGAGAACAGAUGCCAGGUGAACGCAAGAGCGGGUGUUUUUUGUUGUGACAGCGACAGACAAGUUACAGUAUCAAAACUGAAAGGGAAAGUGAACUGUUUUUCCAGGCAGUUCCCGUUUGGUGUAAAUAAGUGCAUUAGAAACAAGGCAAUGUCUAAUCAGCCGGGGAUGUUGGAGAACAGUAGUUUGAACGGAAUUGUGAAUAGUUAGGGUGGAAUCCUGCAGAUAGAGCCACCUACUGCACCCGCGGCGCUGGGUCCUUCCGGGCUGCACCGGCGGCGGGUGGCGCUGGAGGAAGGAGAGUUCGCGGUAAUUAAACAUUUCCAGACACCGGAGGGUUAUUAUCUGCAGAGCGAUUUCCGGCGAUGGGACUCGGAGAGAGUCCGGCUGCGAGGUUUCGAGAUUCUGGGACGCAAUCCUAAAGAAAACGUGCCCCCUGCUGGCGAGCAAGCCACAUCUCGGGACCCCUUCUUGGAAAACUCGCAAACCCACAGUAUCCUUAUUUCACUUUGCCCAAGAGUAUUUUAGUCCUUCAGUUUUUCUUUUCUCAGUUAGAAGUUUGCUGCUACUCAUUUAAAAGUACGCACACGCUUACCCUUCCAAAGAGCAAACGGAGGAGGAAUUUCUUCUCGCCACGGGGUUUCUGUUUCCCUGCCCCAAACCAGACGUCCUUGCUCUCAGAUGGAUGAGGGCUUUUGUUUGUUUGUUUGUUUGUUUUUAAAUAAUCCGAAAUUCCUAGCAACUAUCUGCCGCCGUUCGCUUCUGGUCCUGGGAAGACGAUGAGCAAAGAUCUACUGGGACCCCAUCCUGCAUUUGCAAGCUCGGUCCGCGUGCCCCUCCCGGCACACCCGGAGGUGAGAAGUGCCCUCCGGUGCCUCCGUCCGCAGCCCCUCGUAGGUCUGCACGUCCUGCUUCGGAUCCCAAAUCCUGGCUUUCUGAAGAAGCGCGGGAAGAAGAGAGAGAGUCUGUUUCCGUGAAUCGAUUUCCCUGAAACACACUAGACUGUGAUUUUUAUCACUUAUUGAGCUGAAGGAUCUUUUAGGAGAAUUUCCUCCUCAAAAUCAGAACCGUUCUCAAGCCUGGUGCUGCAAGUACAAU